GGGCAGCUUGACUGUCUGAUCUCACACCCAGCUACCGACUGGCCCACUUUGAAACAGUGCAGCCUUUAAUGUAUCUAGAAAUUACUGCUUUGGGUUUUAAUAUUAAGACAUAUCUAAUAUAAAUAUAAAUUCCUCAAGAUGAAGACUCCUUUGGUAAUCUGAUAAUGAACUAAAAAUACAAGCGAUGUCGCCAGGCUCGAUUUGCACGACUUUUCGGAACUUUAAUUCACCAACAAAUGUGUUAUUGUCAAACGUCAGUGGAGAGUUUCGGCGACCUCCAGCUUGAAGUGUGAAGGGCAUGAAAUGACAGGCUCCUGGUAUAGCCUCGCCCCACUUUUGGCAGAGGACCCCUGCUUCGCCUGAAGAAGGAGUAGCCUGUGUCCUUGGAACCCAGAGAGCAGGUUAACUGUGAUUCCUCUAGACGAGACCCAGUGGAGAGCUGCAGAGACUCAGAGGGGUCCCUCACCAGCAUGGACAAGAAGCCGUGGCUGGCCGCCAGCAGCACUUUAACCCAGCUCUGCUGCGUCGGCUCAUCUGCACCGGCCAGCCUAUGGUUCCAUUGCCCCCGGUCCCCAUACACCACAGAAAAGGC